rnacentral:sRNA from 2 species
UGGGCAGACCCGCCUAAUCGUCGCCUGACCUCUGCGGGUCAGUCGGCGGGCCGGGGACCCAUGUGUUCCUGGGGUGAAUCUGCCACCGCGCAGUAGGGCUCCUUCCAGCCCGAACCCGUCAGCUAACUCGGUCGGUGGAAGGAAGAACGG